rnacentral:rRNA from 1 species
UACGUAGGGUGCGAGCGUUAAUCGGAAUUACUGGGCGUAAAGCGUGCGCAGGCGGUUUUGUAAGCCAGAUGUGAAAUCCCCGGGCUCAACCUGGGAAUGGCAUUUGGGACUGCAAGGCUUGAGUUUGGCAGAGGAGACUGGAAUUCCUGGUGUAGCAGUGAAAUGCGUAGAUAUCAGGAGGAAUACCGAUGGCGAAGGCAGGUCUCUGGGCUAUAACUGACGCUCAUGCACGAAAGCGUGGGGAGCAAACAGGAUUACGAA